GCGGCAGUAGCUCAUUGGUAGAGCCUCCACUUCGCGUGGGGAAGAUUUGGGCUCGAUCCCCGGCUGCUUCC
rnacentral:tRNA from 1 species